AGUGAACGCUGGCGGUAGGCCUAACACAUGCAAGUCGAACGGCAGCACAGGAGAGCUUGCUCUCUGGGUGGCGAGUGGCGGACGGGUGAGGAAUACAUCGGAAUCUACUCUGUCGUGGGGGAUAACGUAGGGAAACUUACGCUAAUACCGCAUACGACCUACGGGUGAAAGCAGGGGACCUUCGGGCCUUGCGCGAUUGAAUGAGCCGAUGUCGGAUUAGAUAGUGGGCGGGGUAAAGGCCCACCAAGGCGACGAUCCGUAGCUUGUCUGAGAGGAUGAUCAGCCACACUGGAACUGAGACACGGUCCAGACUCCUACGGGGGGCAGCAGUGGGGAAUAUUGGACAAUGGGCGCAAGCCUGAUCCAGCCAUACCGCGUGGGUGAAGAAGGCCUUCGGGUUGUAAAGCCCUUUUGUAGGGAAAGAAAUCCAGCUGGCUAAUACCCGGUUGGGAUGACGGUACCCAAAGAAUAAGCACCGGCUAACUUCGUGCCAGCCGCCGCCGUAA
rnacentral:rRNA from 1 species